GGCAUUAAGACAGCAUAUGUCACAGUGCUGGGAACGAGAGGAGCUGGAACGGGAGGAGCUGGCUCCAGAGUGUCACAGUGCUGGGAACGAGAGGAGAUGGAACGGGAGGAGCUGGCUCCAGCAUGUCACAGUGCUGGGAACGAGAGGAGCUGGCUCCAGAGUGUCACAGUGCUGGGAACGAGAGGGGCUCGUUCAGAGCUGGGAACAGAGGAACGAGUGCCGGGGAACUGAGCCACUGCUGCCAGUCCAGGGAGCUCCGGCUGUCACCCUGUUCCUGGUGGCAGUUUCCAGCGGGCUGGCACUCGGCACAGGCCACCUGCAAGCCAGCUCUGGGCUGUGGGAGGAACUGGGACCUGUUUGGGCUGCCCAGCUGCAGCUCGGCUCAUUUGCACGAGGCAGCCUGCCACAUCAGAACUGCUCCAGGGAGCACCAGGAGGCAAACCAAUCUGCCGCCUCCAAACCCGAGCUGGGUGGGAGAGAAAAGUGUUUGAACCAUGCAGAGGCUGUUGUUUGAGGGAUGAAAUGUUCCUCUGACAUUAGCCUGCAGCGAACAUCCCAGGAAUACCAGUUUACUGGUAGGAAUGAUCACAACCCGGCAAGUUCUUAGCCACCCUGAAAGAAUGUUCCAUAAAGGGAGUUAUGAGCUCAUAAACCAGCUUUUGCACCUA